ACUCCUUUGCAGCACUCGACUUGGAGAGACAUUCGGAGAGGCAGAGAGCAAGCACAGAUCAAGGCCUCAUCAUUUCUGCAAUUAGCAUUUCAAUUCUAUCCUUAGUCAUUUUAAAGCAAAGGAUUUGAAGAAAGGCCGAACCCUUUUCUGGGAACUAUACAAACACUUCGGAUACCUUUCCCCCUACUUCUGAAAUUAAGAACUGAUGCUUUAGACUUUUGUUAUUGAGGAAGGAAACCAACAAUGUAGGUGAAAAUGAGGACCACGUGGGGCCUAUCAGCCUCCAGCUUACAAUGCAGGUAUUACAGCACCGUGCCAGCCCCUCCCAUCUUAACCGCUAACAGCACCAAACUGUAUCACCAAUAAUGCACUCUAGCAUCACAAACUCCACUUAAUGAUGAGCCCAUCAGGAGAGAGUGACGAGCCUGUGUUGAGUACUGUCAAAGGUAAGAUGAAAGUCAGUUUACAAGCUUUAUGUUUGUGAGCCAAAACUACUGAAGAGUGAUUAUGAGUAUCAGAGCGGGCUAUGUAAUUUG